CCUACGGGUGGCAGCAGUGGGGAAUAUUGCGCAAUGGGCGAAAGCCUGACGCAGCGACGCCGCGUGAGGGAUGAAGGUCUUCGGAUCGUAAACCUCUGUCAGCAGGGAAGAACGGUCACUGUGCUAAUCAGCAGUGAAUUGACGGUACCUGCAAAGGAAGCACCGGCUAACUCCGUGCCAGCAGCCGCGGUAAUACGGAGGGUGCGAGCGUUAUCCGGAUUUAUUGGGUUUAAAGGGUGCGUAGGCGGGCUGUUAAGUCAGCGGUCAAAUGUCGGGGCUCAACCCCGGCCUGCCGUUGAAACUGGCGGCCUCGAGUGGGCGAGAAGUAUGCGGAAUGCGUGGUGUAGCGGUGAAAUGCAUAGAUAUCACGCAGAACUCCGAUUGCGAAGGCAGCAUACCGGCGCCCGACUGACGCUGAGGCACGAAAGCGUGGGUAUCGAACAGGAUUAGAUACCCUUGUAGUC
rnacentral:rRNA from 1 species